CAAAUAUGAGAAAUCCUUCUUCACUUCAUAACAGUGUUGUCAAAAAGUUCUGCUCUGCUUUCAAGAUGAUGAGUAAAUAUUUCAUUCAUCCUAUUCCUAAACAUUCUAAAGCUAAAUGUUUCGUUCAUGGCUGCAAGUUUGAGAAGUAUGAUAGACAUGACCCGGAUAGGAAAUAUAUAUCUACUUUCCAUAUACCAAAAAAGCGAGAGGUGUUUGAAAAGUGGGUCCAAUGUUGUGGAAGAAUGGAUCUCCUAGAUGUUCCGAUUGAAUCACUCCAAAGAACUCUGUACAUUUGUGAGCUGCACUUCACUACGCUACAUGGAGGAAUAAAAAGGAAGAGGAUAUCUAAUGAAACUAUUCCUACAUCUUUUCAAAAAGGACACACUCCUCUCUCAGAGGAGGCAAUGAACGCUUGGAGGUCAACGGAGCAUUACAAACAGUAUUGGUCAGCUUUUGAGAAGAAGGUGACUCCUUCCAACAAUGUGCAGCGCUGUCCAAAUCUGCCCAAAAAUUCUACAGCUAUUUACUGCCAGAGCACUGGUCCAUUUCCUUGUUUGUAUUGUGAAACUGUGCACCAACCAACACAAGCCUUAGAUCCUGAUUUGCUGGACUUGGUUCCUGACCUACCAGCUCCCUCAGUGGCUGCAAUUGCCCUGUCUAGUUCUCCUACAAACCAAGAUACAAAGCCUCCAUUACAAGAGGCUGUUGGUAAAUCUUUGUUCAACGUAGUGAAGAAUUAUUUUGAACAGAAUGAAACAGAAGAUCGCAAGUCAUCACAAAAAGUAGUAGUCAUAAAAUGUGCAGAGACCCCUAAAAGAGAAGAAGAAAACCCUGAUACUAAUCCAGAGAAUGAAGAUAAGAAGUUGAUUGUUGUGAAAAUUUCUUCUCCAGAAUCUCAAGUCAAGCAAGAAUCAACUUUACCUCAUAAUCACGCAAAUUUGUUGGAAGUAUUAUCAGACUAUACUGAAUCAAGUGCCACUGAAAUAUGUGAACUUCCUUCUGCUGAAUCUUCUAAAGUGCUUAAAAAACAGAAAACUCCUAUACCUUCCAAGAGAAGCCAUUCUAUCAAAAUUACUCGGCCAAAGGCUGAAAAGCCUAUUUAUCAUAACUUUAAGUUUGUAAGAAGUAUUAUUCCUAUUCCUCCUUCCUAUCAAAAAUUUUGCGGAAAAACUGUAGUCAAUAAUCAAACUCCUCUCAACUCUCAACCAUUAGAGAGAGUUUCAAAUGAGAACCCAUCAAGCAAAGAGAUAAAAGCAAUUGAACCCACACAAAACACAGAAGAAAUGGCUUCUGCGUCGCAAAACAAGAAACAAAAACUUCUUUAAAUCUGUUUGAAGUUUGUCUCACAUCGCAAGUGAAUGCAGCGUGUCAUGUGAUUCACUGACGUCUGUGUCUGUCAAGAAAUGGACAAGUGAGUUGAAAUGAAAGGUGACACGACGAAGACAGGUGCAUUUUCGUUUCCCGCCUGCCCAUCUGACCCGCCGGUCACCUGUCAGCAUUCGGACUGGCCCAUGUGGACGCCGUCGCGCUGGUCGCGCCGAGGCGUGCGCUGCAGCCACUGACCGGACGCCAAGGCUGGCCAAGGCCGCCCCCUCCAGCUCCAUCUCCAGCAGCCUCACGGUUAAGGUAAGCAGCUCAUCAGUCGGACCGCCGCCGCAGAGCACUCCCCAGUCUCCGUCGGACUUUCGCGGAAGGAAGUGCGGCGUUCAACGGCACCUCGCAGCACCCUGGACACCCCUCUUCUGGAGGUCACCGCCCUCGUGAGUCUCUCUGACCCCUGACCUCUCUGUCUCUCCCUUCCUCCCUCGUACUGUCCCCCUUCUCUGCUGCGUCUACCACAACUCUCCAACCGCGACAAUAUUUAGUCCACUCACCCCAGAGCCGAGCCCCCGGCGCGGGUUGAACAGGCGAGUCAAAUACUUUAACGUGUGGGGUUCCCGGUUUCCCCUCCUGCUAGGCUCAGCAUAUAUGCCCCUCUGAACUCCACCUUCUCUCCAGAGUAAUGUCAAAGGUAGUCGCAUGCGGUAGGAUGGGCGUUCGGGAAAACGAGUUCCGGGUGGCCCGGGAGCCUCCUUAAAACAGAGAAAGACAAGGCCGGUUGGACAUGUCGCGUCACCGAAACUUUGUCGUCAGGAGAUCGGGACCGAUCGCGACAAACAAAACAACGCAUUUGUUCGGAUGGAAGUCCCAGUGUGGCAGCGCGAGUA